GACGAACGCUGGCGGCGUGCUUAACACAUGCAAGUCGAACGGUGAACCUCUUCGGAGGGGAUCAGUGGCGAACGGGUGAGUAACACGUGGGCAACCUGCCCCCGGCUCUGGGAUAACUCCAAGAAAUUGGGGCUAAUACCGGAUGUUCACCGCUUCCCGCAUGGGUGGUGGUGGAAAGGGUUUCCGGCUGGGGAUGGGCCCGCGGCCUCUCAGCUUGUUGGUGGGGUAGUGGCCUACCAAGGCGACGACGGGUAGCCGGCCUGAGAGGGUGACCGGCCACAGUGGGACUGCGAAAGUGCCCAGACUCCUACGGGAGGGAGCAGUGGGGAUUAUUGCGCCAAGGGCGGACGCCGGACGCAGCGACGCCGCGUGGGGGAUGAUGGCCUUCGGGUUGUAAACCUCUUUCAGCAGGGACGAAGCGCAAGUGACGGUACCUGCAGAAGAAGCACCGGCCAACUACGUG
rnacentral:rRNA from 1 species